rnacentral:rRNA from 1 species
UACGAAGGGGGCAAGCGUUGUUCGGAAUUACUGGGCGUAAAGGGCGCGUAGGCGGUCAGCACAAGUCAGUUGUGAAAUCUCCGGGCUUAACUCGGAAAGGUCAACUGAUACUGUGCGACUAGAGUGCAGAAGGGGCAACUGGAAUUCUCGGUGUAGCGGUGAAAUGCGUAGAUAUCGAGAGGAACACCGGUGGCGAAGGCGGCUCUCUGGGACGGUACUGACGCUGAGACGCGAAAGCGUGGGGAGCGAACAGG